AACGAACGCUGGCGGCAUGCUUAAUACAUGCAAGUCGGACGCCUGUAGCAAUACAGGAGUGGCGGACGGGUGCGUAACGCGUGGGAACCUGCCCCUUGGUACGGGACAACUCCGGGAAACCGGGGCUAAUACCGUAUAAGGCCUGAGGGCGAAAGAUUUAUCGCCGAGGGAUGGGCCCGCGUCCGAUUAGGUAGUUGGUGGGGUAACGGCCCACCAAGCCGACGAUCGGUAGCUGGUCUGAGAGGACGGCCAGCCACACUGGGACUGAGACACGGCCCAGACUCCUACGGGAGGCAGCAGUAGGGAAUAUUGGACAAUGGGGGCAACCCUGAUCCAGCAAUGCCGCGUGAGUGAUGAAGGCCUUAGGGUUGUAAAGCUCUUUCGCCGGGGACGAUAAUGACGGUACCCGGAGAAGAAGCCCCGGCUAACUUCGUGCCAGCAGCCGCCGUAACAC
rnacentral:rRNA from 1 species